GACGAACGCUGGCGGCGUGCUUAACACAUGCAAGUCGAGCGGAAAGGCCCCUUCGGGGGUACUCGAGCGGCGAACGGGUGAGUAACACGUGAGCAACCUGCCCCUGACUCUGGGAUAAGCCUGGGAAACUGGGUCUAAUACCGGAUACGACCACCGAUCGCAUGGUCUGGUGGUGGAAAGUUUUUUCGGUUGGGGAUGGGCUCGCGGCCUAUCAGCUUGUUGGUGGGGUAGUGGCCUACCAAGGCGACGACGGGUAGCCGGCCUGAGAGGGCGACCGGCCACACUGGGACUGAGACACGGCCCAGACUCCUACGGGAGGCAGCAGUGGGGAAUAUUGCGCAAUGGGCGGAAGCCUGACGCAGCGACGCCGCGUGGGGGAUGACGGCCUUCGGGUUGUAAACCUCUUUCAGCAGGGACGAAGUUGACGUGUACCUGCAGAAGAAGCGCCGGCUAACUACGUGCCAGCAGCCGCGGUAAUACGUAGGGCGCAAGCGUUGUCCGGAAUUAUUGGGCGUAAAGAGCUCGUAGGUGGCUGGUCGCGUCUGCCGUGAAAGCCCGCAGCUUAACUGCGGGUCUGCGGUGGAUACGGGCCGGCUAGAGGUAGGUAGGGGCAAGUGGAAUUCCUGGUGUAGCGGUGAAAUGCGCAGAUAUCAGGAGGAACACCGGUGGCGAAGGCGGCUUGCUGGGCCUUACCUGACGCUGAGGAGCGAAAGCGUGGGGAGCGAACAGGAUUAGAUACCCUGGUAGUCCACGCUGUAAACGUUGGGCGCUAGGUGUGGGGGUCUUCCACGAUCUCCGUGCCGGAGCUAACGCAUUAAGCGCCCCGCCUGGGGAGUACGGCCGCAAGGCUAA
rnacentral:rRNA from 1 species